rnacentral:rRNA from 1 species
USAKGUGCUUGUCUYNNAGAUUAAGCCAUGCAUGUCUAAGUAUAAGCAAUUAUACAGCGAAACUGCGAAUGGCUCAUUAAAUCAGUUAUCGUUUAUUUGAUAGUACCUUACUACUUGGAUAACCGUGGUAAUUCUAGAGCUAAUACAUGCUAAAAACCCCGACUCACGAAGGGGUGUAUUUAUUAGAUUAAAAACCAAUGCCCUUCGGGGCUCUUUGGUGAUUCAUAAUAACUUUUCGAAUCGCAUGGCCUUGCGCCGGCGAUGGUUCAUUCAAAUUUCUGCCCUAUCAACUUUCGAUGGCAGGGUCUUGGCCUGCCAUGGUUACAACGGGUAACGGGGAAUGGGGCGGGGGCGGCGGGCCGGGCGCGGGGCGCGGCGGGCG